rnacentral:lncRNA from 1 species
GAAAUGGGAUGUUUGUGUUGCUGUAAAAAGAGGAAGGAUCACAGACCUCCUCCCCUUUUAGUGCUUCCUCUGUUUCCCUGGCUGUCUCAACUCAGUCAUCCUCCUCUGCCACUCCCCCCAGUCCUGCCUGCCCUUCCUCCACAACCCACGUCUCCUCCCCUGCCCCCCAGUCCUCCUCUCCAAACCCCCUGGACCACCAUGGAGAGACCAACAAAGACAGUGAGACUGCCAGAGAUCUUAUGAGCUCUGAGGUCAAAGAGGUGGGGGCAUUUGUUCCACAGACAAAGAGAAUGGUACCCCGAUUUGCUGGCAUCGCAG